rnacentral:rRNA from 1 species
UGGGGAAUAUUGCACAAUGGGCGAAAGCCUGAUGCAGCGACGCCGCGUGAGGGAUGAAGGCCUUCGGGUUGUAAACCUCUUUCAGCAGGGAAGAAGCGCAAGUGACGGUACCUGCAGAAGAAGCGCCGGCUAACUACGUGCCAGCAGCCGCGGUAAUACGUAGGGCGCAAGCGUUGUCCGGAAUUAUUGGGCGUAAAGAGCUCGUAGGCGGUUUGUCGCGUCUGGUGUGAAAACUCGAGGCUCAACCUCGAGCUUGCAUCGGGUACGGGCAGACUAGAGUGCGGUAGGGGAGACUGGAAUUCCUGGUGUAGCGGUGGAAUGCGCAGAUAUCAGGAGGAACACCGAUGGCGAAGGCAGGUCUCUGGGCCGCAACUGAUGCUGAGGAGCGAAAGCAUGGGGAGCGAACA